rnacentral:sRNA from 2 species
GCUGGCGGCAUACCCACUCGCUUUUUCUCGCAUUUUACCUUCCGAUGUAUUUCCGUUGCAUAUUCCGCGUGGCAAUUGAACCGUGUAAAAUCUGGCUGGGAGGUGAAACAGCGUGCAUCAUUUUCGUUAGCGUUUGUAUCACCCAAUGGCAACCGUCAUAGGGGUUCUGGAUCUACAUCGUUAUGGGAGUAUCCUCAUUUAGCGGAAAGGAAUGUCAAUGGCACCAAAAGUUUCCAUGGUGACUCGCAGUAUCUGAUUGAGUCCGUUACGAAAGUGUUCUCCAGCCUCAAUGACUGAAACCAGUGAAACCAGAAGCCUGGGUUAAACCCCCUCGGUGAUGACAUUCUUACAGAGC